ACAUCAGGUCAUGAAUAGAUCUCUGGUGUCUUCUGAUAACCUCUCAGGUCAGGAUACAGGCACAGAGCUAACUGACGUGGCAAUGAUGGGGGUUCAUUGCACACCUCUGGACUGACCUGCAGGCUCCAGUACGAUCCCUCCAGCAGCACAAGUAAACUCAACUUGUUCUCACCCAACAUCUCAGCACUGCUUACCUUCGGGAUUGCUGGGCCCUUGGGUCUGGAGAUGCACACUUUCCUUGGAACUCCUGCCAUGCAAACAGCUGAGAUACUUAAAUGUCGCCUAUCCCCAACUCUCAUCAGGAGGAAGUAUCUCAUCACCAUCUCUAGCAGGCAUGUGGUGCCAGCCAGCUAGCAGCCGCAUCCACUUGUAGUUCGUCUCUGUUUUGUUUGCUUCUUUUCAUGGCAACAGACAAGUUGCGGAGCUUUUCACCCACACACUUUACCUGAUAACAGCCUCGAACCAGCAUCUGUUUGCCUAGAGGCACAACUCCUUGCUACUAGUCAGGACCUAUUUCUUAGGAAUUGUUGCUAAAUGAUGUCACUUUGGAAUGAGCUCCAUCAGCCGUGUCUGCACUACCUCACCUGCCACUCCAAAACCACUGAGCCUUGCUGCUGCCUGCAUCCGGCUGUGCACAAGGACAACCACAGACAUCGAGGCAGCUCCCUCUAGUGCAGCAGGAGGAUGUGCUCAGCUCCCUCCUGAGCAUUUAGAUCCACAGAGCUUGAAGAGCUAAGGCUGUGCUCCCCAUCCCACACAGUACUGUAUUUGACUUAAAAGCAUGGGUAUUUCACAGCUUUGCAUGGAGCUAUCUUGAUUUCCAAUUUGGAGUUGGCUCUUGGCAGAACACUUAGAGCAUCCUUUUAGUCUUUAUUUUCUUGGGCUGAUGGUCAGAUAUGAAAGGGUACCAAGGAGCAGCUCAAACACAGCCUUUGGCUCAGUAGGCUUGGGCUGAGCCACAGGUCAAGGCUGCCUGCCCCUGGCAGGGGGAUGCUUGCCCAUGGAAAUGUCACACACACAUUGCCAGGGAUGGGCAAGAGCAACACUCAUCUAGCCUGACAUGUGGCUUUUGCCUCUCUCCAAUUUACAGCAAUGCACAACAAUGUAUUUUAACUCUUGGAUGGACAGCUGGGCCGUUGCAGCAUCCCCUCAUGUUGCUGUUAUUGUGCUGGGCGUGUUGGGUGUGGGACCCAACACAAACACACAGUCACACACACGCACUCACACAUGCAGACACCCUUUGCAGCCUCGUGGGUUUUGCUGGCUUACAAACAAGGGAACAAACAAUCUGAGGGAAUGCAACGUCACACCAGAGCCUGGCGGAGCGCAGAAUCCCACCCAGCACCAAGGACUCAUGAUUUAUGCUUCUGUUACUGCACUGACAGACGGAGGCAGGGGAAAAAAAAGUUUUGCCAGAUUUUCCAUCCCCUGUGACGAAGCAGGAAUCUCAGCUUUUGAAUGUAUUUGUGGUUUCACCCCUCAGUUUUAAGGAGAGAAGCUUGCAAGUGGGACAGGUUCAGCACCUGCAAAGAGAAUAAAGAAGAUGCUGCAAGGGGAAAAUAGACUUCUAGGCAGUCUGGCUCAGGAAGACCAGCAAAGGGAGAACAUCUGAGUUCAGCAGCUGAGGGAAUGGGCUUUUUGUUUCAAGUGCAAACAUGGAAAUUCUAAAUGUGAAGACUGAGACUCCCCAGAAAAAGAAUUAAGCUCAGCAGAUAGCUCUGCCUCUGUCCCAGGUUAGACCAUACAGACAAUCCGGAUUUAUCAGAGUUUUGGAAAAAAGAGGUGGGGUCAUGCACACAGAAGAGCAUCUCCCAUCUCACAGUGCUUGCUUCAAGCCUUGUGUUGGAGUUCAACCAAGCAGCCAGAAGGACAGACUGACACCCCCAUGCCCACAGCCCCAGCCCUGGGGCAUGACCUGCUCUGCUUCCUGUUUUGUUUGCAUCUCGGUCUGGAGAAGUUUCCGUUCUUGUCCUAUACACUGCUAGAAGCAAUUUCACUUGAAAGCAAGUAAUUAAGAGCAAUAAUUAAGCAGAUGCGAUUUUUAAGCAUUUAAGGUUGAAAAAGCUUGUAUGGUCCUUGAAAACGGGAUUCUUUAAAGGACCAUGGUGAUAAACUGUUCCCAUAAAUGAUGAGAAAUGUUUAAAUCAAUAAAACGUUUGUUUAGAUGU
ensembl:lncRNA